AACGAUGAUCCAGCACCUAGAAUUGACAGCUUUAUUGAAGGGCCCUUGGACACCAUAAAACCAACCAUAUCAUCAGACACGUUUCAAACUCAUGCGCUCUUCCUCGGUGACGUUAAUCUAUCCACACGUGAGGAAUUAUAUACCGGUGGAGAAGAGGAUGAGAAUGCGCUGACAUAGUGAGACGUCUGGGCGUCACAUUCUACAGAGAGAAGAUUUAGCUGGACCAGGCGGUGGGUGGUCCUAUUUGGGGGACAAGUUGACUGGAAAAUCCCUUCUGUGCUGCCUUCGGACUUUGAGGAAAGCAAAAUUCCGG